rnacentral:rRNA from 1 species
GAUUAGUGGCGACGGGUGAGUAACACGUGGGCAAUCUGCCCUUCACUCUGGGACAAGCCCUGGAAACGGGGUCUAAUACCGGAUAACACUUACCUCCUCCUGGGGGUUGGUUAAAAGCUCCGGCGGUGAAGGAUGAGCCCGCGGCCUAUCAGCUUGUUGGUGGGGUAAUGGCCUACCAAGGCGACGACGGGUAGCCGGCCUGAGAGGGCGACCGGCCACACUGGGACUGAGACACGGCCCAGACUCCUACGGGAGGCAGCAGUGGGGAAUAUUGCACAAUGGGCGAAAGCCUGAUGCAGCGACGCCGCGUGAGGGAUGACGGCCUUCGGGUUGUAAACCUCUUUCAGCAGGGAAGAAGCGCAAGUGACGGUACCUGCAGAAGAAGCACCGGCUAACUACGUGCCAGCAGCCGCGGUAAUACGUAGGGUGCGAGCGUUGUCCGGAAUUAUUGGGCGUAAAGAGCUCGUAGGCGGUCUGUCACGUCGGAUGUGAAAGCCCGGGGCUUAACCCCGGGUCUGCAUUCGAUACGGGCAGACUAGAGUGUGGUAGGGGAGAUCGGAAUUCCUGGUGUAGCGGUGAAAUGCGCAGAUAUCAGGAGGAACACCGGUGGCGAAGGCGGAUCUCUGGGCCAUUACUGACGCUGAGGAGCGAAAGCGUGGGGAGCGAACAGGAUUAGAUACCCUGGUAGUCCACGCCGUAAACGUUGGGAACUAGGUGUUGGCGACAUUCCACGUCGUCGGUGCCGCAGCUAACGCAUUAAGUUCCCCGCCUGGGGAGUACGGCCGCAAGGCUAAAACUCAAAGGAAUUGACGGG